CUAAUAUGAGUCCAAUUAAUGUAAGUCAUAUUCCAUUCUAUUGUUGGACAUAUAAUAACAAUGUAAUCAAAAACUUUAUUGUAUUCCGUUUCUAACAUAUUUAGUAAGAACUGAGUUUUACCGCUUCCUGUCAUUCCUACUAUAAGCAUGUUGAAUGGUGGUUCGAGUUGCAUCUCUAUGCUUUACCGUUAGUACAAACUAUGUCAGUAGU
rnacentral:lncRNA from 1 species